AAUCCAUGGUGCUGGCAUAUUUGAAUCAACAUUUUGAAGUGUCCCUAUGCCUCAUAGAAGCUUUCUCCCUCCAUUUGCCUAAAGACAACAACGUCUCUUCUUAGUUG
rfam:Gossypium raimondii Chr04_contig_421, whole genome shotgun sequence.